CUGGAUGAGUAGCAACAGCAGCAGCAGCAAUAGCACUAGCAGCAUCUCCUUUGUGGCUUUCUGGGGGGCUCGGUCACUAGAGCACCGCGCUCCCGCUCACAGACACACAGGCGCUCCCAGCGCCACCGUCACACACACGUAGUGGCAGUGGCAGUCGUCGUCAGAGCCGGGGCAGGGACAGGGACUGCUACCUUGACGACUGGAGCUACGGCGACAGCAGCUGCGGCACCAUGGCGCAAGCCGCCAAGCAGCUCCGUAAGAACAAGGACCUAGCGGAGCUCGCCGCUCAGGAGCUGAAGGAUAAGGAGGAGGAGAAGAACAAGAAGAGGAAUCGAUCGAGGGACCGCAGACGCAAGGCGGAUGCUGUCACCAGUUUCCUCCGUGCAGCCCGUUCAGGGAACCUUGACAAGGCUCUUGACCACAUCAAGAAUGGAAUAGACAUCAACACAUCAAAUCAGAAUGGGCUCAACGGUUUGCAUCUGGCCUCGAAAGAAGGCCACGUCAAGAUGGUCCUGGGGCUACUACACGCAGGCAUUGUCUUGGAGACCACCACUAAGAAAGGGAACACUGCCCUCCAUAUCGCUGCGUUGGCAGGCCAGGAGAAAGUGGUGGCUGAGCUCGUCAACUAUGGAGCCAACGUCAAUUCCCAGUCCCAGAAAGGCUUCAGCCCCCUCUACAUGGCUGCACAAGAGAACCACUUAGAGGUCGUUAAGUUCCUGUUAGAGAAUGGAGCCAAUCAGAGCCUUCCAACAGAGGAUGGGUUCACGCCGCUGGCGGUGGCUCUCCAGCAGGGUCAUGAGAACGUGGUGGCCCUGCUCAUCAACUACGGCACCAAGGGCAAGGUCCGUCUUCCCGCUUUGCACAUUGCUGCACGCAACGACGACACACGCACUGCCGCAGUACUGUUGCAGAAUGACCCUAACCCCGACGUCCUCAGCAAGACUGGCUUCACUCCUCUCCACAUCGCGGCUCACUAUGAGAACCUGAGUGUGGCCCAACUGCUAAUUAACAGAGGAGCCAAUGUCAACUAUACUCCCAAGAAUGGUAUCACCCCCGUGCACAUAGCUUCUAGGAGGGGUAAUGCGAUCAUGGUUCGGCUUUUGCUGGACAGAGGGGCCCAGAUAGACGCCAUGACCAAGGAUGAGCUGACCCCUUUGCACUGUGCGGCCAGGAACGGUCACGUGAGGAUCAUCGAUCUACUGCUGGACCAGGGGGCUCCCAUCCAGGCCAAGACCAAGAAUGGCCUGUCCCCCAUCCACAUGGCGGCCCAGGGUGACCACAUGGAUUGUGUGAGGCAGCUCCUUCAGUACAACGCUGAGAUCGAUGACAUCACGCUGGACCACCUGACCCCUCUACACGUGGCGGCCCACUGUGGUCACCACCGCAUGGCCAAAGUACUGCUGGACAAGGGGGCCAAGGCCAACGCACGCGCACUGAAUGGGUUCACUCCCCUCCACAUUGCCUGUAAGAAGAACCACAUGCGCUCCAUGGACCUGCUUCUGAAACACUCUGCCUCCCUGGAGGCCGUCACAGAGUCUGGUCUGACCCCCCUGCAUGUAGCAGCCUUCAUGGGCCACCUGAACAUUGUGAAGAACCUGCUCCACAGAGGUGCUUCUCCCAAUGCCUCCAAUGUGAAAGUGGAGACGCCCCUCCACAUGGCUUCCAGGGCAGGCCACUGUGAGGUGGCUCAGUUCCUGCUGCAGAACACAGCCCAGGUGGAUGCCAAGGCUAAGGAUGACCAGACCCCUCUGCACUGUGCGGCCCGUAUGGGACAUAAGGAGCUGGUCAAACUGCUCCUGGAGCACAAGGCCAAUCCUGACUCGGCUACCACCGCUGGCCACACCCCCUUACACAUCGCCGCCCGUGAGGGACACGCCCACACCACCCGGAUUCUCCUGGACGGGGCGGCCCAACAAACCAAGAUGACAAAGCAGAAAGGCUUCACUCCUCUCCAUGUGGCCUGUAAGUACGGCAAGGUGGACGUGGUCGAGCUGCUGCUGGAGAGAGGAGCCAACCCCAACGCGGCUGGAAAGCAGAACGGCCUGACUCCUCUACACGUGGCCGUCCAUCACAACAACCUGGACGUGGUCAAGCUGCUGGUCAGCAAGGGAGGCAACGCACACAGCACUGCCCGGAACGGCUACACUCCUCUGCACAUUGCAGCCAAGCAGAACCAGAUGGAGGCGGCCGGAUGCCUGCUGCAGUAUGGAGCCUCUGCCAACGCGGAGUCCCUCCAGGGGGUCACACCCCUCCAUCUGGCCUCACAGGAGGGCCAGCCAGACAUGGUGGCCCUGCUCAUCUCCAAACAGGCCAACGUCAACCUGGGGAACAAGAAUGGACUGACCCCUCUGCACCUGGUGGCCCAGGAAGGUCACGUAGGGAUAGCAGACACCCUGGUCAAACAGGGGGCAUCAGUCUACGCAGCCUCACGGAUGGGCUACACAGCGCUUCAUGUGGCCUGUCACUAUGGCAACAUCAAGAUGGUGAAGUUUCUCCUGCAGCAGCAGGCUCAUGUGAACAGCAAGACCAGAGUGGGUUACACUCCCCUGCACCAGGCCGCCCAGCAGGGUCAUACUGACAUAGUCACCCUGCUGCUCAAACACGGAGCCCAGCCCAACGAGAUCACCACUAAUGGGACCUCUCCUCUGGGCAUUGCCAAACGACUUGGUUACAUCUCUGUCAUUGAUGUGCUAAAGUUGGUCACCGAGGAGGCCGUUUCCGUGAUCACCACAGAGAAACAUCGGAUGAGUUUCCCUGAGACAGUAGAUGAGAUAUUGGAUGUUUCAGAGGAUGAGGGUGUCGCAGCGCUAACGUUAGGUGAUGAGUUGCUGGGGAUGGAUGGUGCUCGCUACCUGAAGCUUGACGACCUCAAGGACCAGGAUGAUGAUUUCCUGUCCCCUAAGAAGACCCUGAGAGACUUUGAGGGCGGCCUGGGCACCACGCCCUACUCUCCUGCAAUUCCCAGAAUCCCAUGCGUGUCCCCUGAAACUGUCCUGCUUGAGGGGCACACCCCUGUCCCCUUGCCUAAGGAGUAUGAUGAGGACUCUCUGAUCCCCAGCAGUCCUGCUACAGAGACCUCCGACAAUGUUAGCCCAGUGGCCAGCCCCAUACACACAGGGUUCCUGGUCAGUUUCAUGGUGGAUGCCCGGGGGGGCUCCAUGCGUGGCAGCAGACACCACGGGCUGCGUGUCAUCAUCCCCCCUCGGACCUGUGCUGCCCCCACCCGCAUCACCUGUCGUCUGGUCAAACCCCAGAAACUCAACACCCCACCCCCGCUGGUAGAGGGAGAGGGCCUGGCCAGCCGUAUCAUCUCUCUGGGGCCCUCCAGUAUGCAGUUCCUAGGGCCAGUGAUAGUGGAGAUUCCCCACUUCGCUUCUCUGGGUCGAGGGGACCGGGAGCUGGUGGUUCUGCGCAGUGAGAACGGCUCUGUCUGGAAGGAGCAUCGCAAUCGCUAUGGCGACGAGGUGCUGGAGACCAUUUUGAAUGGCAUGGAUGAAGACCUGGAGAGUCAUGAGGACUUGGAGAAGAAGAGAAUCCGCCGCAUCAUCUCCACGGACUUCCCCCUCUACUUCGCUGUGGUGUCCCGCGUCCAGCAGGAGAGCGACCUGAUUGGCCCAGAGGGCGGUCAGCUGGCCAGCAUGCUGGUCCCUCAUGUCCAAGCCAUCUUCCCUGAGACAGCGGUCACCAAGAAAGUUCGACUGGGGCUGCAGGCUCAGCCUAUCCCAGACGAGCUUCUGACUCGACAGCUUGGUAACCAAGCGACCUUCAGCCCAGUGGUCACGGUCGAGCCACGACGACGCAAGUUCCACCGGCCAAUAGGAUUACGCAUCCCGCUGCCCCCGUCUUGGAGGGAGAGUUCACGUGACGCUGGGGAGGGGGACACCACCAGCCUGCGCCUCCUCUGCAGUGUCAUUGGUGGAACAGCACCAGCCCAGUGGGAGGACAUCACUGGCACCACCAAGCUGAUGUACACCAACAACUGCGCCAACUUCACCACCAACGUCUCUGCAAGGUUCUGGCUGGCAGACUGCCCACGCACAGCUGAGGUGGUGACCUUCGCCAACCUGCUGUACCGGGAGCUGAUGGCCGUGCCCUACAUGGCCAAGUUUGUAAUAUUUGCCAAAAUGAACGAGGCACGCGAGGGCCGCCUACGCUGCUACUGCAUGACCGACGACAAGAUGGACAAAACCCUGGAGCUGCACGAGAACUUCAGCGAGGUGGCCCGGAGCAGGGAUAUAGAGGUGAUGGAGGGCAUGCCUCUGCACCUGGAGUGCUCUGGGAACCUGGUGCCUGUGAGGAAGGCCACUCAGCAGGCACGCAGCUUCAGCUUCCAAGCCUUCAGAGAUAACAGACUGCCCGUCUCUGUCAAGGUCAGAGACAGCAAUAAGGAAGCCUCUGGGUUCCUUUCUUUCCUGCGGAAGUCUACCAAGUAUGAGGAUGCACAGCACGUGCUGUGUAACCUCAACAUCACCAUGCCUCCCUGUGUCAAGGUUGUUGGGAGUGAGGAACGGAGGCGAACUCUGACCCCGUUGGCCCUGAGGGAGCGCUACAACGCUCUGAACGAGCCCGGUCUGGCUACAGUCAAUGUCAUGGAGAGGACCGAGCUCAAGAUCUCCCUAAUAUCCGAACAGCUGGGAUUGAGCUGGGCAGAGUUGGCACGGGAGCUGCAUUUUGGUGUGGAUGACAUUAACAGAAUCAGGGUGGAGAAUCCUAACUCCCUCCUGGACCAGAGUUCAGCCCUGCUCAAUCUGUGGGUUGGCCGGGAGGGCAAGAGGGCCAAGAUGGAGAGUAUAUAUGUAGCUUUGAAGAACAUUGACCGUUCAGACAUUGUGAGUUCCGUGGAGGGCCAGCCACAGGCAGGGGCCGGGGCCUCAGAGGAGGGGGCCUGCAGACUGGUUGACCACGACUCCACCCUGCUCUCCCCCAGUGUUAUCAAUGGUUACGGACUUGUGCAGGAAGAGCUGCUCUCCCCAGCCUCCAUGCAGUACAGUCUGCCCUCUCCGCUGGGAGCUGAGCCCUACUGGCAGGAGGUCUCCAGCCUGGAGUGUGCCCCCAUCGCCACCACCGAAGAAGACACCCUGAUGGAGAUGUCAGACGUGCAGGUGUGGCCCUCGGGGGUCAGCCCCUCCCUGGUCACAGUGGAGGACUCGUCCCUGGAUGGCAGCAGUCGGGCUGACGACUCAGAGGGGGCCACCCUGUCCCUGCCCUUCAGCCUGAGGCGCCCCAGCAGUGGGGCCAGUGGCUCCAUCAUGGAGCUGGAGGAGGAGGAAGAGGAGGAGGAGGAGGAAGGGGAAGUAGAGGAGGAGGCGCGGCAGGAGCUGGCGGACAGGGACAGGGUGAGGGCCAGCGGCGCCGUGCCAAAGGUCAACCUGAAUGGCCAGCUGGGAGGUCAGAGGUCGGAGGGCAGGAGGGUGGAGGUAGCAGCAUCAGUGGUGGGCAGCAGUGUGACUGGAGGAGGAGCGAGGGGAGGAGGAGGACUAAGACAGAGUUCAGAGGAAGGGCUUUCUGUUGUUGCAGGGCAGCAGGUUUAUGCCCAGCUGUGUGAGAUGUCAGGACUGAGCCGAGCAAUGGAGCACAAUGGAGACAACAGGGUGGUUGGGGGCGGUGCUUUCCAGCCGUACCUCCCCAACAAGGACUCCCUGCGCGGCUGGGCAGGGUCGCAGGCGCCCAGGCUGCCCCGGCAGAGUGUGGAGACGCUGAUGAUGUCACCAAGGUCUCGUGUACCCCAAGAGGCUCUGCUGACACCGGUGUGUGACUUGGGGGCAUUCGGAGGUGCUGUGCAGGCACCUGUUUGGGACACAGCCCUUCGACAAGGUGUUGGGCUUCUCACCAAGAGGCAGGGCUCCAGGUUGUCAUGCCUACCGACCACCUGCCGCUUCCUGUGCCUGGAGCAGGGACUUCCUGUCCAUGCCUGCGAUAGAUAGGGCAAUCUUUUAAUUUGGUUUCAAUCAUAAAAAUUCCAACCAUCAAAACCCAAAUGUUGACGUUAUGGCACGUCAUUAUCUGAAAUUGGCUUAAUGGGGCAAAGUUGUGUUGUGUGGUUUGUAAACCUGUGUACUAAUGUCAUGUGGUUAUUGUAUGUGUUUUAUCCUGAUAUUUUGACACAGAUUGAUGCUGAUAAAGAGGACUAUGCUGUUGAGUUCCUGGCUGAGGAGCAGUUGGUGGACGAACAUGGAAACGUUGUCACUAGGGAGGUGGGGGUGGAUGUGAGGAAGGGUGCUCAGUCAGUGAAGCGCACCAGUCUGCGGAGAGUAAAACACUGAAACACACAUACCCAGUCCUCAAGAACCGGACAUCCACUGCCAAACCAUCCUCCACAAACAAAACGCCAGGUGACAGAGGACAACAGGGAGGAGACUAGAGAAGACUGAAGGACUAAGAUCAGCAAACAACAAAUACAAACACAACAUCAUCUGCAGAAUGACCCUGGAUCGCCACAACAAGAAGAAACGAGAAGGAGAUCUACUUGUAGUUUUGUAACAUAAAACAAAGAUACUUAACUAGAGUAGGGCAUGAUUUUUUUCUAUAAAACGUCAUAAAAUCCAACCAGAAAAAAAAGCAACAAAAAAGUGCUUCCUGUCAACUGUAAUUGCAUGAUUGACUGCUGGUGCAUGACCAUUGACCUUUGAACUGUCAUUAUCUACAAACUCAAUUGGUACAAGUUAUGGGGCCGACCCAGGACUGACUGGGUCAGGGACGAGUUUAAGGACCUCCCACCCCCCCGCCCAAAAGGAUUGGUUGGUGUUAGCAAGUUGAGUCUGGUAACACUACUGCCAAAAAAGCUAAUAUUGUUUCCGUCUUCAGAUUGCUAUGAUACAGUCAAUCCAAUGCUGAGCUUACCAAUGCUCCUUUCACUUGGACCCUAUUUCCUUGUUAUUCUAUGUGAUAUAUGCACUAUGCUCUGUGGAUGUGUGUCUGUGUGUGUAUGUGUGUGUAUUUCUACCGCAUGUGUUCUCUCGCUUCUGGCUUGGCACUGAGCCGUGUCCUGAUUGGUCAGUGCUCCUGUGAUGUCACGGUGUGCUCAAUGUGGGAAUGAGAAACUCACCGUGCUCCCCUACUCGGGAGCGUCUGUCUGUGUGUGACGUCUUUCCUUUGUGAACGCGCUUCUCGUGUUCCUUUAGCUCUGUUCACCCCAGUUCCACUUUGUCUGGCUUUGAUAGGGACUAGCUUCCUCCCCCUGUUUUAGGAGGGUGUGCUUUAUUCAGACAAUGGGAAUGUUUUUCCAGAUGGGAACAAAAAAAAAGUUUGUCGCUUGAUAGCAUUGCGUGGCAGCCAGUGUAUUCUAACAUUAAUGUCCAACAACACAUCCCAGAUUUACGGUAGCAUGGGGUCCCCUUCCCCUCCUAUCCCCCCUCUGCCAUGUUGACACCACACUCCUCUCCAUCAACUCCUGUAGCUCCAACUUAAAUCUCUACCCAAUCAGCUUCAUCCACGCACUCUCUCAUCUUCUCUCCGUUUGCUGUGGCUAUAGCACCUCACGACAUCUCCCUUUUGUGGUUCACAUUCAAUUGUGCUUUUGUUUUGAGGGGGUGAAGCAGACGGGAUUAAUGAUCAGUGUGGAUAUUCAUAUUCAUGGGAAAGAGAUGGAGGUAAAUGUGGAGGUUUAGAUGGAAUGCUAGAGACUAGCAUAGCUAAGCAAGUAAGGACAGACUGACAGAUAGCACUGUGAUCGCCCAAUUUAACACUGACCCAUGAGCCCAUGUACCCUGUACUGUGAACUUAUAGACACACACACACACACCACAUAAAUGCAUACACACACACAAACUCACACAUAUCCUUAAUACACACAUGCACACGCACAUACAGUAAUUCAUUUAUUGUGCCCUAGUUGUUAUGAGAAGCCUGGUCGGACUCAGAUUAUGUACUUUGGUGUCUGCCACAGCAAUAAUAUCAGACAAGAAGGGAUAUAUAUAUAUAUAUAUAUAUAUAUAUAUAUAUGUGUGUGUGUGUACAGUGGGAGGGUGGGUGUUCUGUAUCUGCACAUUAUGGUAGCAUUUAAAGCAUUUCUCUCUCUGAAAUUGGUGCAGACAAAUCAGAAGCAUGCAUGUAUACAAAAGGUACAAUCCAAGACGGUAUACAAACAGUUUUCCCCUCACAAAUGUGAUCCUUUCAAAGCAUUCACGAUUGACAUUUCGUAAUGGUAGCUCCUCUGUUCCUCUGACCUUCAUGUUGUUGUAUUAGCAUGGUGGCACUGCCACCUGGUGUUACAAAGAGGUAUCACAGACUAGAUAACUGGAUUAGCGCAGCAGCAGCUGGGGGGCAAUAUAGUAAAGGUUUCGGGAAAGGAUUUGGUCCAGCACUUAACGUAGCAGAUAUUACCCAGGAUAUGCUAACUUCAUACAUUGAAUCUUAGGAAUGGAUCUCUCAUGGUAGCAUUUAUUUACUAUUUAUGUAUGUAGUGUGGUUGGAGUGAAUGUGACUGAAUGAUUUAGUGAAUAGAUUAGUAACACGUCACCGACACGUAUUCCCUGCCAAUCAGUGCACAUUAAAACCUCAUCUGUUAUGCCACAUAUAUCACAUAUCACUUAUCAUUCACUCUUAUUCCACUCAGGUUUCAGUUCUAGCAGGAUCCAAGUUUUGCCCUGUUUUUGAGUUCAGAGCCCUCUGUAGAAAGAGAACCAUGGGUGUCAACAUGAGUGCUGCGGAAUCAGUUUGGGUGUGUGUGUGUGUGUGUGUGUGAGAGAGAGAGAAUGUGGUGGAGGGGUCAUUGGUAACAGGUGAGGUGUAAUUAUAAAAGGGUAGCCUUUAGUUAGUAUGUUGGUGGAUUCGCUAGGUGAAAGGUCCGUGGUCUUUAAGCCUCACCUCUCCAGGUCACCUAAUUUAUCUUAAAACAGCAGUGUAGCUGAUUGACUUAUGUUGCUGCUUUGGGUCUGAAUAGGCUAAUGACGAAGAAAAGUGAGACUCUCAAUCAGCAAUUGAUAAGUCAAUCAACCUAUCAAUCAGGUUUUCCACAAGAACAAGACACUGAUACCUGAUAUGGAUGAGAUAUAGAGACCAUAGUCCUGAAAGGUAUAUUCAAAUGGAUGUACAGCAUGUUUGAUUAAUCUCAGAUGAAGGGGAUCUGUGUAUGUGGGUUUAGAGGUUGACAAGAUCAAACUGAAAGUUGAGCCGGUCCACAAGCCUUUGCACUGUGAGAACUGUAGACUCCGCCAGUAUGUGUGUGCAUGUGUGUGUGCUUGUGGUGUUCAGAAGGUUGAGGAGGAGAGAUGGACAUGGUUUUAAAACUUGGGACACAACAUGAAGACAUGGAAAUGAUCAUGUAUUUUAAAGAGUAUUUUAAAAUUACUGUUGCAAAGAAUAGAGAUCACCUAUAAUCCUUUAGAAUGGAAACGUGACAAUAUUAACGCAAUAUGAUAUUACUCUAUACUAAGGAAUGCAACUGCACACAUGCACAGAAAAUGUUUUUAUGAAAAUAUAUGUAUAAAUAUAUGACAAAAUAUAUUUCAUUAGAAUGCUAUGCACCCUUAUAGAGUUGUUAUGGAUGUUCUUUAAGCAUAUUAACUAGACUAUAGUAUAGGUAAACGGCCACAUCGUGGGGAAUGUAGAGGCUUUGUAGGUAUUUCAAAUUGUUUUCUUUUCUUUUUUUUUAUUGUCAUGGAGAGAGGAAAAACAAACGUGAAUAUGUAUUCAAGCCUUUGUUUCAAUCAGAUUUGAUUCUGACAUGAAGAUAUGUAUAGGUCAUCUACUCUGUACACCAGCUCCAACCAUUUACAGAAAUGAAUAAAGAUGUGAACAUACCUGAUGUGUUCUCUUACACAUUUUGAUGUGUUUGAGAAUCAAAUGUAAAUUGAUGUACGUUUGUAAAUGUAAAUUGUAAAUCUAUAUGUAUGUGUAUAAAGGUAAGUACAUUGGUGCAAAACA